UUUACCUGAGUCCUUUUUUCCUCUACUAUCCCAGCUAGCAUGUAUAAUCGGCCCGAGCUCGGCUGCCCUGCGGCAGCUGCGGCUCAGACUCGGCAUCGGCGUGUGUUAACCGAGCCGAUUGUGCCCCGCAGCUCGCUCUGGCACAUUCAUUUUUGUUCUGGCUGUAAGCACUGGGCCGAUUCAUGUUCACCGUAACUGGUAACCCAGCUCUGGCUGUAUGAUCUGGACCACUUUUGGAAAUGACUCGGCUUAUGUUAAAUCAAGGAUGGUUUUAAUGGAUGCCAUUCAAUGUAGGCGACUUUCUUUAACACAAAUGUAGAUUUUUAACUCCAACCGUUUUAGUCUGUCCAUAACAAAAGACAGUAAAAAACAAAACAUGGUCAGACAAAUCCAAAUUAAACCCUGCUGCUCGUUGAUGUCCUAAGACACGAAACGAUCGGUUUCUGUGAGAAACCGAACUGUAUUAUAUAAUUUAUACCUCUAAUACGGCGCCUUCUUCUUCUUUUGAGUUUUAAUGGCGGGUUGCGAAGCAACGUCAUAGUUGCAUACUGCCAUCUACUGUAUCGGAUGCACGGCUUGAGGGCUAUACAGGGACACCCGAAACCGUAGGUGGCGGUAUGCACCUAUGAAGUUGCUUCGCAACCCGCCAUUAAAACUCUAAAGAAGAAGGUGCUGUGCACGGGCUCAUUUGACUACGCAUAGUACUGUAUUAGAGGUAAAAAAAAAUUAUAUAAAUACUGUUCGGCUUCUCGCACAAACCGAUCGUUUCGUUUCUUAGGAUAUCAAUGUGUCGUCACGAGCGGCAGGGUUUAAUUUGGAUUUGUCUGUGCAUGUUUUUACUGUCUGAGAUUUUGUUACUAUUCACAUGCAUACAGACUGAAACGGUUGGAGUUUCUACAUUUGUGUUGUACUGAAGAAACAAAAUCACAUACAUCUUGGAUGGCCUCGGGGUAAGCUGAUAAAUACAAAAAAUUCAUUUUAAGAUGAAUCCCGUACGUUGGCGGCUGUUUUAAACUGGGUGCUCGGCUCCGACCCUUUUGCCAGUAUGAAGCCGAUUUCAACGGUAACUGCAGAAAGCGUCAGCACGCUUAGCUCAUCACUGGAGUAACGUCUGUACAACGGGUGAGAUAAAACUCAACGCCUGACUGAAUCAUCCAUUCCCUUUUCGAUCCUACGCCAUACGUUAAACUUGAGGUAAUCUUGCUUUUGCUGUUCUAAAAUAAACACUGCUCUUAGCACACCACCCAUACAUGGCACACAAAACAGGUCUUGUGAGGGGGCUGUGCCCACAGGUAGAAAUUCUGUAGGUCCACGGGCUUCUCCCCUUUCAGCGAACAUCACAGCGCUUAGUCCACCAUCGUGGUCUCAAUCUCCAUUACCAACAGCCUGAGUGCUACACCUACAGACACCCCAACCCAUGCAGCAGCUGGCAGAAGUCAGACAUCAGGCCAAACUGGAUUUCAACACACCCCACCCUUACAUGGCACACAAGUAUAUGACACACAACACAGGUCUUCUCAGGAGGCUGUGCCUACAGCAAUAGGCUUUAUGCCCAGCUGCACUACUUCCUGAACUUCAGCCAGCUCCUUGUUUCCUGUCUGCCAUUAUUGGACAAACUGAUUAAUCCAGGUGUGCCUGAGCUUAGUAGUCACAACAACAAUAAUCAGACACACCUGGAUUUAUCAGUUUGUCCAGUAAUGGCAGACAGGAAACAAGGAGCUUAAAGCCUAUUGCUAAGGAGAUCCUCAUCCAGCUCGAUUUUAUUAGAGAGCAGCAGUUGCAGACUUCACCCCAGACCCAACACAUUUUGGGCUCCCACUUUCAACUAUUGAGGAGCUACAAUGUUUGUAGGAGACAUUAAAUAAUCCAGAUGAGAAGAAGAAUUUGGUGAGACUGUGUUUCCUGCAAUGGUCGGAGACAAGACUCUUAAAGACACCGUGGGGUGGGUCCUGAAAAAAACAAUGAACUCUUCGUGGUGAGACUCAUCAAUUGAAGUGGGGUCAACUGAACGCCUGCAUUCAAAGGGCUCACUUUGAAAAGUGUG